GAGGGUAUAGCUCAGUGGUAGCGCAUAUACUUAGCAUAUGCAAGGUCCUGGGUUCAAUUCCCUGUACCUCUA
rnacentral:tRNA from 1 species